AGUGAACGCUGGCGGUAGGCCUAACACAUGCAAGUCGAACGGCAGCACAGUAAGAGCUUGCUCUUACGGGUGGCGAGUGGCGGACGGGUGAGGAAUACAUCGGAAUCUACUUUUUCGUGGGGGAUAACGUAGGGAAACUUACGCUAAUACCGCAUACGACCUACGGGUGAAAGCAGGGGGUCUUCGGACCUUGCGCGAUUGAAUGAGCCGAUGUCGGAUUAGCUAGUUGGCGGGGUAAAGGCCCACCAAGGCGACGAUCCGUAGCUGGUCUGAGAGGAUGAUCAGCCACACUGGAACUGAGACACGGUCCAGACUCCUACGGGAGGCAGCAGUGGGGAAUAUUGGACAAUGGGCGCAAGCCUGAUCCAGCCAUACCGCGUGGGUGAAGAAGGCCUUCGGGUUGUAAAGCCCUUUUGUUGGGAAAGAAAAGCAGCAGGUUAAUACCCCGCUGUUCUGACGGGACCCAAAGAAUAAGCACCGGCUAACUUCGU
rnacentral:rRNA from 1 species